CCUACGGGGGGCAGCAGUAGGGAAUCUUUCACAAUGGGCGAAAGCCUGAUGGAGCAACGCCGCGUGCAGGAUGAAGGCCUUCGGGUUGUAAACUGCUUUUAUAAGCGAGAAAUAUGAUGGUAACUUAUGAAUAAGGAUCGGCUAACUCCGUGCCAGCAGCCGCGGUCAUACGUAGGAUCCGCGCAUUAUCCGGAGUGAUGGGGGGUAAAGAGUUGCGUAGGUGGCAUAAUAAGUAGCUAGUGAAAUCUGGUGGCGCAACCAUUCAGACUAUUAGCUAAACUGUUAAGCUCGAGAACGUUAGGGGUAACUGGAAUUUCUAGUGUAGGAGUGAAAUCCGUAGAUAUUAGAAGGAACACCAAUAGCGUAGGCAGGUUACUGGGACGGUUCUGACACUAAGGCACGAAAGCGUAGGGAGCAAACGGGAUUAGAUACCCGGGUAGUC
rnacentral:rRNA from 1 species